UUUUUUUUUUUUUUUUUUUUUUUUUUUUCAUACGCGCAACAUG
rnacentral:ribozyme from 1 species